CGCAAGCCUGACGGAGCAAGACCGCGUGGGGGAGGAAAGCCUUUGGGUUGUAAACCCCUUUUCUCAGGGAGGAAGAAAGUGACGGUACCUGAGGAAUCAGCCUCGGCUAACUCCGUGCCAGCAGCCGCGGUAAUACGGAGGAGGCAAGCGUUAUCCGGAAUUAUUGGGCGUAAAGCGUCCGCAGGUGGCUUGUCAAGUCCGCUGUCAAAGACUGGGGCUUAACUCUGGUCAGGCAGUGGAAACUACAUAGCUAGAGUUCGGUAGGGGCAAAGGGAAUUCCCGGUGUAGCGGUGAAAUGCGUAGAGAUCGGGAAGAACAUCGGUGGCGAAAGCGCUUUGCUAGACCGAAACUGACACUCAGGGACGAAAGCUAGGGGAGCG
rnacentral:rRNA from 1 species